rnacentral:rRNA from 1 species
UACGGAGGGGGUUAGCGUUGUUCGGAAUUACUGGGCGUAAAGCGCGCGUAGGCGGAUUAGAAAGUUGGGGGUGAAAUCCCGGGGCUCAACCCCGGAACGGCCUCCAAAACUCCUGGUCUUGAGUUCGAGAGAGGUGAGUGGAAUUCCGAGUGUAGAGGUGAAAUUCGUAGAUAUUCGGAGGAACACCAGUGGCGAAGGCGGCUCACUGGCUCGAUACUGACGCUGAGGUGCGAAAGUGUGGGGAGCAAACAGG